GACGAACGCUGGCGGCGUGCUUAACACAUGCAAGUCGAACGGAAAGGCCCUGCUUGCAGGGUACUCGAGUGGCGAACGGGUGAGUAACACGUGGGUGAUCUGCCCUGCACUUCGGGAUAAGCCUGGGAAACUGGGUCUAAUACCGGCUAGGAGCCAUUUUUAGUGUGAUGGUUGGAAAGUUUUUUCGGUGUAGGAUGAGCUCGCGGCCUAUCAGCUUGUUGGUGGGGUAAUGGCCUACCAAGGCGGCGACGGGUAGCCGGCCUGAGAGGGUGGACGGCCACAUUGGGACUGAGAUACGGCCCAGACUCCUACGGGAGGCAGCAGUGGGGAAUAUUGCACAAUGGGCGCAAGCCGGAUGCAGCGACGCCGCGUGGGGGAUGACGGCCUUCGGGUUGUAAACUCCUUUCGCUAGGGACGAAGCUUUUUGUGACGGUACCUAGAUAAGAAGCACCGGCUAACUACGUG
rnacentral:rRNA from 1 species